UUUCCGCGUGAGUGAAGAAGGCCUUCGGGUUGUAAAGCUCUUUGGACCGGAACGAAACGGUUGUGGUGAAUAUCCACCACUAC
rnacentral:rRNA from 1 species